rnacentral:rRNA from 1 species
UACAGGGGGGGCAAGCGUUGUUCGGAAUCAUUGGGCGUAAAGCGCGUGUAGGCGGUCCGGUAAGUCCGCUGUGAAAGUCGAGGGCUCAACCCUCGAAUGCCGGUGGAUACUGUCGGGCUUGAGUACGGGAGAGGCGAGUGGAAUUCCUGGUGUAGCGGUGAAAUGCGCAGAUAUCAGGAGGAACACCAAUGGCGAAGGCAGCUCGCUGGGACGUUACUGACGCUGAGGCGCGAAAGCGUGGGGAGCGAACAGG